rnacentral:rRNA from 1 species
GUAGGGUGCGAGCGUUGUCCGGAUUUAUUGGGCGUAAAGGGCUCGUAGGUGGUUGAUCGCGUCGGAAGUGUAAUCUUGGGGCUUAACCCUGAGCGUGCUUUCGAUACGGGUUGACUUGAGGAAGGUAGGGGAGAAUGGAAUUCCUGGUGGAGCGGUGGAAUGCGCAGAUAUCAGGAGGAACACCAGUGGCGAAGGCGGUUCUCUGGGCCUUUCCUGACGCUGAGGAGCGAAAGCGUGGGGAGCGAACAGGGCUUAGAUACCCUGGUAGUCCACGCUGUAAACGGUGGGUACUAGGUGUGGGUCCCAUUCCACGGGUUCCGUGCCGUAGCUAACGCUUUAAGUACCCCGCCUGGGGAGUACGGCCGCAAGGCUA